rnacentral:rRNA from 1 species
AUACGGAGGAUCCGAGCGUUAUCCGGAUUUAUUGGGUUUAAAGGGUGCGCAGGCGGCCAUUUAAGUCAGCGGUUAAAUCGUGGGGCUCAACCCCAUUCUGCCGUUGAUACUGGGUGGCUUGAUUGCGGUCGAGGUUGGCGGAAUUCGUUGUGUAGCGGUGAAAUGCAUAGAUAUGACGAAGAACACCGAUUGCGUAGGCAGCUGACCAGACCGCAAAUGACGCUCAUGCACGAAAGUGCGGGGAUCGAACAGGAUUAGAUACCCUGGUAGUCCGCACAGUAAACGAUGAAUACUUGUUUUCGGCGAUAUAAUGUCGGAGGCAAAGCGAAAGCGAUAAGUAUUCCACCUGGGGAGUACGCCGGCAACGGUGAA